GGGCAGGGAUAAGCCUGGCCCAAAACUAACCUUGACCCAUCUCCAAGUUUCGCGGGACAACGGAAAACGGCGCUCGUUUUCUUGAAAGCAUAUAAAUUCAUUUUCUUCGAACUUCCUUUUCAUUUCAACCUCCUUGGCUGAUCCUUUUCCUCAGGUAAAAAACCAUCCGGUACAAGCUCAACCAGAAGAUCAGCCAGGAAUUAUUAUUCUUGCCAAGGAACCGGUUCUUGAACAGGGCACAAGCAAGGAAAGUUGCACGCUUCCUUCCAAACCCUGAAAGACAUUGGGGCUCUGAGCUGAGAGCUGGUCGUCAAAUCACUAGUAAACACAUCUCUCUAUUGGAUGCAGAGGCAGUAAAUGGAGCUCUUAGCCAUACGGAUUACGAAGAGCCUAAAGCACAACGUCCCAAGGAGGUUUAGAUUCCUGUCGAGAGAGAGAGAGAUCAAGAUUUACAGGGAAUGCACAAGAAGUCUUUCCCUCUCCAUCCCUAUGAACAGCAGAUGUUUCUGAACGCAAGCUGGUGGUGGUUGUUCUUAUUUCCUCUCGAACGGAGGGUUUUUUAUUUUUAUUUUUAAUUUUUGAGCUGUCUUCGUAUAAAGUCAAGUUCAAUAGGAAUACUAAGGUGUUGUAUGGAUUUAAUACCUCUUAGUUUUUAGAGCUUAGGAUUGGCAAAUUCAGAUUGGUGCAACUUAUAUCUGGUUAUACAAAGGAACGAGUUAUACGAACUGUGAGCUAAGUCCCAAAAAA